rnacentral:rRNA from 1 species
GACGAACGCUGGCGGCGUGCCUAAUACAUGCAAGUAGAACGCUGAAGGAGGAGCUUGCUUCUCUGGAUGAGUUGCGAACGGGUGAGUAACGCGUAGGUAACCUGCCUGGUAGCGGGGGAUAACUAUUGGAAACGAUAGCUAAUACCGCAUAAGAGUAGAUGUUGCAUGACAUUUGCUUAAAAGGUGCAAUUGCAUCACUACCAGAUGGACCUGCGUUGUAUUAGCUAGUUGGUGAGGUAACGGCUCACCAAGGCGACGAUACAUAGCCGACCUGAGAGGGGGAUCGGCCACACUGGGACUGAGACACGGCCCAGACGCCUACGGGAGGCAGCAGUAGGGAAUCUUCGGCAAUGGACGGAAGUCUGACCGAGCAACGCCGCGUGAGUGAAGAAGGGUUUCGGAUCGUAAAGCUCUGUUGUAAGAGAAGAACGAGUGUGAGAGUGGAAAGUUCACACUGUGACGGUAGCUUACCAGAAAGGGACGGCUAACUACGUG